GAAGAUGAUGAUUUGAUUUUUGUCGCCCCAGUCUUAAUUUGCAUCUAACAUUAGAUGUAAUGUGGUGAUUGACAUUUUAUCUGAUUC
rnacentral:snoRNA from 1 species